AUUGAACGCUGGCGGCAUGCCUUACACAUGCAAGUCGAACGGCAGCACGGGAGCAAUCCUGGUGGCGAGUGGCGAACGGGUGAGUAAUAUAUCGGAACGUGCCCAGUAGUGGGGGAUAACUGCUCGAAAGAGCAGCUAAUACCGCAUACGACCUGAGGGUGAAAGGGGGGGAUCGCAAGACCUCUCGCUAUUGGAGCGGCCGAUAUCAGAUUAGCUAGUUGGUGGGGUAAAGGCCUACCAAGGCAACGAUCUGUAGUUGGUCUGAGAGGACGACCAGGCACACUGGGACGGAGACACGGCCACGACUCCUACGGGAGGCAGCAGUGGGGAAUUUUGGACAAUGGGCGGAAGCCUUAUCCAGCAAUGCCGAGUGCAGGAAGAAGGCCUUCGGGUUGUAAACUGCUUUUGUACGGAACGAAAAGCCCUGGGUUAAUACCCUGGGGUCAUGACGGUACCGUAAGAAUAAGCACCGGCUAACUACGUGCCAGCAGCCGCCGCAGUAA
rnacentral:rRNA from 1 species